rnacentral:misc_RNA from 1 species
CAGCUCCCCCUUGGGGAGUAGCCUGCUUCCGGCAGCGGAAGCGCGCGUGUCAACACACUCGGCCAUUGCGCCGUGGCACGUGCAGCCAGACCCGGUUGGCGAGACCAGCGGCACGCGU